rnacentral:rRNA from 1 species
AGAGUUUGAUCCUGGCUCAGAUUGAACGCUGGCGGCAUGCCUUACACAUGCAAGUCGAACGGCAGCGCGGGGGCAACCCUGGCGGCGAGUGGCGAACGGGUGAGUAAUAUAUCGGAACGUGCCCUAGAGUGGGGGAUAACGUAGCGAAAGUUACGCUAAUACCGCAUACGAUCUAAGGAAGAAAGCGGGGGAUCGCAAGACCUCGCGCUCGUGGAGCGGCCGAUAUCUGAUUAGCUAGUUGGUAGGGUAAAAGCCUACCAAGGCGACGAUCAGUAGCUGGUCUGAGAGGACGACCAGCCACACUGGGACUGAGACACGGCCCAGACUCCUACGGGAGGCAGCAGUGGGGAAUUUUGGACAAUGGGCGCAAGCCUGAUCCAGCAAUGCCGCGUGUGUGAAGAAGGCCUUCGGGUUGUAAAGCACUUUUGUCAGGAACGAAA